UAAGCCAGGUUCCCUGACUGUGUGCAGCCA
rnacentral:piRNA from 1 species